GUUCUUACCUGGCAGGGGAAAUACUGUGAUCACGAAGGUGUUAUUCCCAGGGCAAGGCUGACCCACUGCACUGACCACUGUAUGUGCUGACCCCUGCAAUUCCCCCAAAUGUAGGGAACUCAACUGUACAUAUUUUGGCAGUGGGGGAUUUUUGUCAUGCUCUCCUC
ensembl:snRNA U1 U1 spliceosomal RNA